rnacentral:lncRNA from 1 species
CUUUUUUCAAGCUGGGGAAGGAUCCCUUUUACAUAAGCCUGUGGUUGAUCCAGUAACUGAAUUGCCCAGUUCUGGGAAGUAGAAACUGAGGUCUGGUCUCCUGACCUGCUAAUUUGCAGCCUGUCAUAGAGUAAACUAUCUCAGGCCACUUUAUUCUUCGCACAACUAUUUUUUUCCAAGUAAAGACUCAGAGAAAAGUAACUUUAUUUCAUUUUGUGAGAUUUUGGUUUAUUAAGAAAUAAUUAUUGAUAGUAAUAGGAAAAAAAUAAAAGGUCUGCCUUAGGCAUAGGAAUUUUGCUUAGUUUGAGAUAAGGCAAAAGCACUUUGGAUAUUCUAUUUGAAUAUUAGCACUGGACCUCCCAAGACUGAAUCCCAGAAUACAUUCACCUGCUCUACAAUCUGAGAAGUCAGUUUGUCAAUAAACAGAGAUCCAAGCAAUAGGAUUAGCAUAUAGGAGUCAGGAUUUCCUUAUCAUAAAACAUUACUAGAUUCUGAUAUCUCAUCACAAUAACUAGAUGUGAACAAUGUAGACAAUAGGUCUUCACCAAAAUUAUUAAUUCCAUAAUAUCUUUUUUGUUUUGUUUUGUUUUAUUUUUUUUUUUUCAAAAAAGGUUUCUCUGUAUUGCCCUGGCUGUCCUGAAACCCACUCUGCCUGCCC